GACGAACGCUGGCGGCGUGCUUAACACAUGCAAGUCGAACGGUAAGGCCCUUUCGGUGGUACACGAGUGGCGAACGGGCGAGUAACACGGUAGUAACCUGCCCACCACUUUUGGAUAACGCUAGGAAACUGGGGCUAAUACUGGAUAUGUGCUCCUUCUGCAUGGUGGGGGUUGGAAAGCUCCGGCGGUUGUGGAUGGACUCGCGGGCUAUCGGCUUGGUGGUGGGGUAGUGGCUUACCAAGGCGGCGGCGGGUAGCCGGCCUGAGAGGGUGACCGGCCACACUGGGACCGAGAUACGGCCCCGACUCCUACGGGAGGGCGCUGUGGGGAAUCUUGACCGAUGGGCGCCAGCCUGAUGAAGCAACGCCGCGUGCCGUAUGACGGCCUUGGGGUUGUAAACCGCUUUCAGCAGGGACGAAGCUUUUUGUGACGGUACCUGCAGAAGAAGCCCCGGCUAACUACGUG
rnacentral:rRNA from 1 species